rnacentral:rRNA from 1 species
AUUGAACGCUGGCGGCAUGCCUUACACAUGCAAGUCGAACGGCAGCACGGACUUCGGUCUGGUGGCGAGUGGCGAACGGGUGAGUAAUGUAUCGGAACGUACCUUUCAGUGGGGGAUAACGUAGCGAAAGUUACGCUAAUACCGCAUAUUCUGUGAGCAGGAAAGCAGGGGAUCGCAAGACCUUGCGCUGAUUGAGCGGCCGAUAUCAGAUUAGCUAGUUGGUGAGGUAAAGGCUCACCAAGGCGACGAUCUGUAGCGGGUCUGAGAGGAUGAUCCGCCACACUGGAACUGAGACACGGUCCAGACUCCUACGGAGGCAGCAGUGGGGAAUUUUGGACAAUGGGGGCAACCCUGAUCCAGCCAUGCCGCGUGAGUGAAGAAGGCCUCGGUUGUAAG